GAUGAACGCUGGCGGCGUGCCUAAUACAUGCAAGUCGAGCGAACGGACGAGAAGCUUGCUUCUCUGAUGUUAGCGGCGGACGGGUAAGUAACACGUGGAUAACCUACCUAUAAGACUGGGAUAACUUCGGGAAACCGUAGCUAAUACCGGAUAAUAUUUUGAACCGCAUGGUUCAAAAGUGAAAGACGGUCUUGCUGUCACUUAUAGAUGGAUCCGCGCUGCAUUAGCUAGUUGGUAAGGUAACGGCUUACCAAGGCAACGAUGCAUAGCCGACCUGAGAGGGUGAUCGGCCACACGGGAACUGAGACACGGUCCAGACUCCUACGGGAGGCAGCAGUAGGGAAUCUUCCGCAAUGGGCGAAAGCCUGACGGAGCAACGCCGCGUGAGUGAUGAAGGUCUUCGGAUCGUAAAACUCUGUUAUUAGGGAAGAACAUAUGUGUAAGUAACUGUGCACAUCUUGACGGUACCUAAUCAGAAAGCCACGGCUAACUACGUG
rnacentral:rRNA from 1 species